rnacentral:rRNA from 1 species
AGCUUUGCUCGUGAACCAAAUAUGGUGGGCUGGGUUGUCUUUGCGGAAACGCUUGGGCGACUUGUCUACGAAUUGUAAUCAUAAUAUGGGCGGCGGUGAAUCCUUUGCAGACGACUUGAAUGGGAACGGGGUACUGUAAGUGGUAGAGUAGCCUUGUUGCUACGAUCCACUGAGGUUAAGCCCUUGUUCUAAAGAUUUGU